CAAAUCAGUUAGCGUAAACUAAGAAAAUGCAGAACAACAUAUAAGCAGCAUCUUGACAGAGUAACAAUCCCUAUGUCUUGAAUUGGCUAUUAAAUAUUACAACAUGUUAUGCAUUCCACAAAUCAUGAAAAGAUAAAGAAGAUUCACAUAAUUUGAUACCACUUCUGUAUAGAUAAAAAAUGCUGCCAUAUUUAAAUUCAAUCACAGAUAAAAGCCAGCAAAAAGAAAAGGGACAUGACUCCAAUCUUGACACGAGAAACUGGCGGAGAAUCUUCUAAUUCAAAUGGGCUACAAGAGAGAAUGAUAGAGAAUACUAAGCAUUCAUUCAAUUAUUUUCCUCAUAAAUCAACUUGUUAGAAUUUGAACCAAUGUUUUCAAAACUCUUUUCAUGCCUUUCAAAUCCGGAACUAAAAAUCCAGUGAAUCAGGUGAAUACAGCCCAGCCGUGACUCUGUUGGGGGUGAGGAACAUAUAGGAAUGCGUGGACAAACAGCUUAAGGUGGUUCAGUAAUUGACUGAAGAACACUUGACUUGCACAACUGACAAUCAAAACUGAACCACCCUCAGAUGUUAAACUAUCCAAAGGCCAAACCUAAAAGAGUCAAGCGUGUAGAAUUUGCACUAAAGCAAACUGUGCAGAUGUGCUGCUCAAUGGUGCCUGACAGGGUAGAUUUUCAGUGGAUUGAUCCCGGGCUACCUCAGAAGUCAAUUCAAGUAAACAUGCUAACCUUCAGGUUUAGACACUAGCUCAAAAUGUCUGAUUCAAACAAACAUUAGCCCAUCCAUUUAGGGCAUCCAUCAGACCUCGCAUCUGUUAAACAUUCUAACGGCUUCAUAAAAAGAAACCUUUAAAAAGAGCAUUCUAAGCUCAAGUCAGAAGAGAUGCUAAUCAAAGAACCCAAUGCAAAGAGCAACAGGACAUGAUUCACAUUAGAUAACGAACCUUUCAGCAUAUGCAUUGGCUCAACUAAUGCACCUUGUCAAACAGAAUAUCCAUGACAAAACUGAAAUAAGACUUGAAAUACAAUCGACUAAAACAAGUACGAAGCUGCAGCUUACCAAUCAACACGUAGGAGAUUUCCAACAACUCUAUGGUUGGAGUAUUUGAACCAAUUGAUCUGAGGUCAGCCUUAGCACAACCAUGGACUAGUUGUGUGCUGAAUCCUCUAUCAGAACACCACAGCUAAUACUGAAAACCAUUCUAGGUCGACCACACAUUUCUACUAUAACAUUUACAGAACAAUUAACUCAUUUUCUGAACCUUAUGGCUCAAUUAAAUCAUUAUGAACACCAGAGCAUAGUGCAAAGAAGAUCACUAAAGAAACUGAACACACCGUUCAUUUAAAAGCGAUGACAUCUUGAUUCAAAUUAUACUUCAAGCCAUACGACUACUUAAGUCAAUUUCUACUAACUGAAAAUACUCAAACACACACUACCAUUGCGAUCAGAUCUAGUCAACAAGAAAUUCGAUCAUAUCACAAACAAACCAUCCCAGAUUGAAUCUCAUAGUUCAAAAACAAUGAAACGAAACAGAAUCGCAUAGAAAUAAAGAGAGUAAAAUGGAACCUAAAGUUGCAAAUCUUCUUUAACAACAAUUAUAAACUUUAUGAUACAACUCUCGACUCCAAAUCCUAUCGAGGUCUAAUAGCAACUCAGCAAAACCAUAAUAGAAAAUCCAACUCCAGCUUCAAUUCAUCUUUUCAUAUCUUUUGAACUCAAGACAUGACCAAGAUAGUAAAAAAUCUAUCCACUUUAAAAAAAAACUUUUAAUGAACUCCACCAGGAAAAAGAAGCAAACUCAGACAAAUAUUUUCCACUUUUUCCCCUCUCAUUCUAACACAAAGAAACAGAUAGAAUUAAACAUAAAAAGAGACUCGACUCAUUUUUUUUGGGGAAUAUUUUCUGUACUUUCCACGAGAAGACACAAAGAGAUGAGAAUCGACCCCUUUUUCCUGAAAUCUUUUUUUAGCUCUAGCUCCUUUUGAAAAUGAUUUUCUGAUGAAUGUGGGGCUUGGAUUGUGUGAAAUCAAUCCAACGCCUGACACUCAUCCAACAAAUUAUUUCCAGAAGCUUCCAGUACUGAGAUAAAACUCAAUUCGAGUGAGUAGAAGGAAUAUUUCAUCCGAGACCAUUAGAAAUGGUGAUGAGGAGAGAAAGAGGAACCGUGAGAAGAGGUUUGAGGCUCACUCGCUUGGAUUUGGACUAAAAUUGAGGCUUGGUUUUUGUUGCCGUGUUAGAUUUAGGGCUUGUGAUAUUUUGGGUCUUGUUAGCGUGGGUAUAGAAGGCAUGGGUCUAGGUUAAG
rnacentral:lncRNA from 1 species